GGUAGCGAGGUGGUGUAGGUUGAACCCGGUAUUCGCAUCUUGUAGUCUCUCUCAAGCAGUUUGGGACUAUGUAACGAGGCUGAACCCGGUAUUCGCAUUUGGGGCAAAGGACCUGGUGAAUUUACAUCGGGGGUCUCGCAAAUGGAAUAAAAUAGUGUAUAUCAUCCAAACAGAUGGUGAUAAUGUGUAUUAUACAGUUAAUCGAGUGGUGUGUAUGCAUGUUGAUGAGAAACUUCCAGCCCCUACACUUGAAGUAUUAGCGAAAAUAAGUGUGGAAAGUCAGGUCUGUGUUGAUGGUGUUUUGUGAAAUCGAUUGCAGGUUCGUGUUAAUAAUAGGUGGUUGGUUUGAAAUCGGAAUUACCUAAUAGCACAAGUGCUGUUAUAACAUUGGGUAGAACAGAACAGAACAGAACAGAGGUGUAUAGGUUUAUUAGUCAGUUCAAGAAUCUUAUUUAAAAUUAAUUAAUAUUC
rnacentral:lncRNA from 1 species